rnacentral:rRNA from 1 species
UACAGAGGUCUCAAGCGUUGUUCGGAUUCAUUGGGCGUAAAGGGCGCGUAGGCGGCUUGGCAAGUGGAUGGUGAAAUCCCUCGGCUUAACCGAGGAACUGCCGUCCAAACUGCUUAGCUUGAGACCGGGAGAGGUGAGUGGAAUUCCCAGUGUAGCGGUGAAAUGCGUAGAUAUUGGGAGGAACACCAGUGGCGAAGGCGGCUCACUGGACCGGUACUGACGCUGAGGCGCGAAAGCGUGGGGAGCAAACGGG